rnacentral:rRNA from 1 species
GGGGGGGGGGGGGGGGGGGCGGGGGGCGGGCAGGGCGGACGGGAAGGCCCUGCUUGUGUGGGGGGCUCGGGUGGCGAACGGGUGGGUAACACGUGAGUAACCUGCCCUUGACUUUGGGAUAACUUCAGGAAACUGGGGCUAAUACCGGAUAGGAGCUCCUGCUGCAUGGUGGGGGUUGGACAGUUUCGGCGGUUGGGGAUGGACUCGCGGCUUAUCAGCUUGUUGGUGGGGUAGUGGCUUACCAAGGCUUUGACGGGUAGCCGGCCUGAGAGGGUGACCGGCCACAUUGGGACUGAGAUACGGCCCAGACUCCUACGGGAGGCAGCAGUGGGGAAUAUUGCACAAUGGGCGGAAGCCUGAUGCAGCAACGCCGCGUGCGGGAUGACGGCCUUCGGGUUGUAAACCGCUUUCGCCUGUGACGAAGCGUGAGUGACGGUAAUGGGUAAAGAAGCACCGGCUAACUACGUG